UACGAAAGGUGCGAGCGUUAAUCGGAAUUACUGGGCGUAAAGCGCGCGUAGGUGGUGUGUUAAGUCGGAUGUGAAAGCCCUGGGCUCAACCUGGGAACUGCAUCCGAUACUGGCACGCUAGAGUGCAGUAGAGGGAGGUGGAAUUUCCGGUGUAGCGGUGAAAUGCGUAGAGAUCGGAAGGAACACCAGUGGCGAAGGCGGCCUCCUGGACUGACACUGACACUGAGGUGCGAAAGCGUGGGAGCAACAGG
rnacentral:rRNA from 1 species